UUCAAUAUCACCAGCAAGGAGUAAUAGGGACCGUACAUUAUGACAACAUUCGGCACAAAUAGCGGUCAAACACUUCGGGCUCGGCAGCUGUAUCAGGAAAUAAUUACUGGAUUUUUUAGUAAAUAGACUGACCGGUUCACCAACCUGCAUGAUGAAGAGAGCCAGAUUCGAUAACCGUGCCGUGGCACAGCUGCCGAGCCCACAGAUUGCGUGAGGUGAUUGCUGGUCCUAUAUAGGUGGCUUGGCAAGUGAUGUUGCUGCUGAUGGUGUUUCCCAGUUGAAGUCGAGGGUCCAGUUUUGCACGUGCGGUAAAAGGGCAGAGUCGGCGAUGGCGCUGAUGAAGCGGUGGCUGGCUUCGACGGCGCUCCCAGAAAACUCGGCUGGGGACCAGGAGGUGUCCAGGAGGGUCCGGGAGGCGUCGAAGAACACGGUUAUGCGGAUUCCGGAGCCAAGCCUACGACCUGUAGGAACCUGCUGCACCGCUACAUACUGGAUCGCACAAAGAUGCACUUGACCUGCAUGCUUUUACAAGGUGCCCUGUGAGCUCUCAUCGAAGCACCGCAUUCCAGAGGUCUGCUGUGAGCAGACGUGGCAAAUUGAAGUGGCAUACAGAUAUUCCAAUAUACUACUCCUAACUUCAGAUGGAACCUUUACAAAGUACAGAGAAAACUUUCUUUUAAAAGUACAAACACCAAUACAGCCUGAUCUUUCCAUCCAAACAUUAUAUUUUAUAUUAGU